AUAUCAGUCAUGCAUAGCAUAUCAAUAAGCGGAGGAAAAGAAACUAACAAGGAUUCCCUUAGUAACGGCGAGUGAAGCGGGAAGAGCUCAAAUUUGAAAUCUUCAAGGUUUUACCUUGACGAAUUGUAGUUUAAAGAAGUGUUUUCUGUUGAAGUUUUGGUAAAAGUUCUUUGGAAUAGGACAUCAUAGAGGGUGAGAAUCCCGUAUUUGACCAUUACUUUCAGCUUUGUGAUACACUUUCAAAGAGUCGGAUUGUUUGGGAAUGCAGUCCAAAAUGGGUGGUAAAUUUCAUCUAAAGCUAAAUAUUGGCGAGAGACCGAUAGCGAACAAGUACCGUGAGGGAAAGAUGAAAAGAACUUUGAAAAGAGAGUUAAACAGUACGUGAAAUUGUCAAAAGGGAAGCGUUUGACACCAGUGUUGUUUUCUCGAAAAUCAAUUAAAAAGAGUUGGAUUUUGUGUUGUAUUGACUUUAUCAGCUUUCUUCACUCUUUUCCAGCUUUUUUUAAUGCACUUUUCGUUUAACAAGUCAACAUCAGUUUCUUUUGUUGUAAAAAGGUCAUUGGAAGGUGGCUUUCUCUUCGGAGAAAGUGUUUAUAGCCUUUGACUCAUGCAAUCGGAGAGACUGAGGUCUGCAGCGUAGAUCCUUCGGGGUUAGAUACAUUUGUGCUAAGUUAUAGCUUUUCAUAGACAACUUGUUGACUAUGAUUUAGUCUUGUAGCUUACUCGCUUAUGCUAUUUUACCUACGCUUAGGAUGUUGAACUCUAUCACACACAG
rnacentral:rRNA from 1 species